CCUACGGGAGGCUGCAGUGGGGAAUAUUGGGCAAUGGGCGCAAGCCUGACCCAGCAACGCCGCGUGAAGGAAGAAGGCUUUCGGGUUGUAAACUUCUUUUCUCAGGGACGAAGCAAGUGACGGUACCUGAGGAAUAAGCCACGGCUAACUACGUGCCAGCAGCCGCGGUAAUACGUAGGUGGCAAGCGUUAUCCGGAUUUACUGGGGGUAAAGGGCGUGUAGGCGGGGACGCAAGUCAGAUGUGAAAACCACGGGCUCAACCUGUGGCCUGCAUUUGAAACUGUGGUUCUUGAGUACUGUAGAGGCAGACGGAAUUCCUAGUGUAGCGGUGAAAUGCGUAGAUAUUAGGAGGAACACCAGUGGCGAAGGCGGUCUGCUGGACAGCAACUGACGCUGAGGCGCGAAAGCGUGGGGAGCAAACAGGAUUAGAUACCCCUGUAGUC
rnacentral:rRNA from 1 species